rnacentral:rRNA from 1 species
UGGGGAAUUUUGGACAAUGUGGGCAACCCUGAUCCAGCAAUGCCGCGUGUGUGAAGAAGGCCUUCGGGUUGUAAAGCACUUUUGUCCGGAAAGAAAACUUCGGGGCUAAUACCCCUGGAGGAUGACGGUACCGGAAGAAUAAGCACCGGCUAACUACGUGCCAGCAGCCGCGGUAAUACGUAGGGUGCGAGCGUUAAUCGGAAUUACUGGGCGUAAAGCGUGCGCAGGCGGUGCUGUAAGACCGAUGUGAAAUCCCCGGGCUUAACCUGGGAACUGCAUUGGUGACUGCAGCGCUGGAGUAUGGCAGAGGGGGGUGGAAUUCCACGUGUAGCAGUGAAAUGCGUAGAGAUGUGGAGGAACACCGAGGGCGAAGGCAGCCCCCUGGGCCAAUACUGACGCUCAUGCACGAAAGCGUGGGGAGCAAACAGG